rnacentral:snRNA from 1 species
GUGGUUGCUUCGGCAGCACAUAUACUAAAAAUUGGAAUGAUACAGAGAAGAUUAGCAUGGCCCCUGCACAAGGAUCACAUGGAAAUUCAUGAAGCAUUCCAUAUUUUU